rnacentral:lncRNA from 1 species
UUCUAUCAUGCCUAGAGAGUGUAAAUUUGGAACGAAUCGAUGUCAACGUUCACAAGAACAAAAACCGGAACAACAUUAGACAACUCAGUUGCGCCCUAACAGUAUAACUUUGAAACGAGUACUUUUUCUCAUUCUAUCAAACAAAAGGUAAAACCUAAUUAUAUAGUUCAAUUAUGUCCCGAGAGUGUAAAUUUGGAAUGAAUCGAUGUCAACGUUCACAAGAACCAAAACCGGAACAAAAUUAGACAACUCAGUUGUGCCCGAACAGUAUAACUUUGAAACGAGUACUUUUUCUCAUUCUAUCGAACAAAGAGUAAAACCUAAUUAUUUUGUUCUAUUAUGCUCCGAGAGUGUAAAUUUGGAAUGAAUCGAUGUCAACGUUCACAAGAACCAAAACCAGAACAACAUUUGAAUACUCAGUUGCGCCCUAAUAGUAUAACUUUGCAACGAGUACUUUUUCUCAUUCUAUCGAACAAAGAGUAAACCUAAUUAUAUUCUUCUAUUAUGCCCAGAGAGUGUAAAUUUGGAACGAAUCUAUGUCAACGUUCACAAGAACCAAAACCGGAACAACAUUAGGCUAAUCAGUUAGGCCCCAACAGUAUAACUUUGAAACGAGUACUUUUUCUCAUUCUAUUGAACAAAGUGUAAAACCUAAUUAUAUUGUUCUAUCAUGCCCAGAGAGUGUAAAUUUGGAACGAAUCGAUGUCAACGUUCACAAAACAAAAACCGUAACAACAUUAGACUACUCAGUUGCGCCCUAGCAGUAUAACUUUGAAACGAGUACUUUUUCUAAUUCUAUCGAACAAAGAGUAAAACCUAAUUAUAUAGUUCCAUUAUGCUCCGAGAGUGUAAAUUUGGAAUGAAUCGAUGUCAACGUUCACAAGAACCAAAACCGGAACAACAUUACAAUACUUAGUUGCACCCUAAUAGUAUAACAUUGCAACGAGUACUUUUUCUCAUUCUAUCGAACAAAGAGUAAAACCUAAUUAUAUUCUACUAUUAUGCCCAGAGAGUGUAAAUUUGGAACGAAUCUAUGUCAACGUUCACAAAAACCAAAACCGGAACAACAUUAGACUACUCAGUUGCGCCCUAACAGUAUAACUUUGCAACUAGUACUUUUUCUCAUUCUAUCGAACAAAGAGUAAAACCUAAUUAUAUUGUUCUAUCAUGCCUAGAGAGUGUAAUUUUGGAACGAAUCGAUGUCAACGUUCACAAGAACAAAAACCGGAACAACAUUAGACAACUCAGUUGCGCCCUAACAGUAUAACUUUGAAACGAGUACUUUUUCUCAUUCUAUCGAACAAAGNNNNNNNNNNNNNNNNNNNNNNNNNGAGUUGAACUUGAGGCAGCGCAGAUGGUUGGAGCUACUCAAGGAUUAUGACUUGACUAUUCUUUACCACCCGGGCAAGGCUAACGUGGUGGCGGAUGCGCUAAGUCGGAAAUCGACGCAGAACUUAGCGAUGCUUGUGGUUACUCAACCGCCGUUGAUCGAGCAGAUGAAGCGGUUGGAGUUGGAGGUGGUGGCUCCUGACACACCUUUGAGGCUGAUGACUUUGGUGGUGCAACCUAUCCUUUUGGAAAGGAUUAAAGAAAAGCAAGCUUCCGACUUGGAUUUGCAAAAGAUUCG